GGAAACCAGGACGAAGGGUUGCAGGUACCGUCUCUGGAAUUUGGGUUUGCGUCUGGGAAACCAGAAUGUGUCAGAACGGCAAAGGGAAGGCGUCAGUGCCAUUCUGCACGACAGAGACCCGGCGCGAGGCUGGAGAGAAACGCGGGGCCCGCAGAGGGCGCUGUCUGGGUGAACGGACUCUGGGGGCGGCGCAAGGCCCCCUGGGGGUUGGCUAAUAUUCUGUCCUCGCUCAGAGAUUCUGGGCCUUGCAGCCUCUUAGCUCCCAGCCUUUCUUUCUUUCCUUUGAGAUGUUUCAGGUAUCUUUCUCUUACCAUCUCCAGACUACGAAUUUCAAGUAAAUACAGAACUUGCCGAGGGGUGGCGCCCGGGAGACCUAAGCAAUGGCACGUUCCCCCGUCGCCCCUUCGGCGCCGUUCCCGCUGUGCCUUGUGGGAGUUGUAGUCCUAGGACGGGCGAUGCUUCCUGCCCCCUCGUCGUUUUUUUUUUCCAUGUACUUUGUGAAUGUUUUUAUGAACUACAAUUAAACUUUCACUCGAAGCUGCAUGAUUUGGCGUUUCGUUAUGUGAUGUGCUAAAGUUUCAUCAGGAUCAAUCUUGUGCUCUCAAUUAAUUUAAUGAAAUAAGAAUCUGGUGUUUAAGAUAAACCCUAUUCAAGGAAUAUAGAGUAGAGUUCAGGGUUCUUUCAUCGCUCUAUAUGAUUCCAGGCAAUAAUGGGAGGGUUUAUUUAAAAUUUCUUAAUUCUUUUCUUGGUGGUGCCGAGUAUCCAACUUAUGCCAGGUAAGUCCUCUACCACUGAGCUACACCCGCAGCCCCCAUUUCAUUCUUCUUUGUCAACUGCGCAGUGUACUGUGAGCUUCAAAGGGUGAGUUAAUUGGCCAACGACGCAGCCAACGCAAAAUGCGCUAUAAAAUCAAAGCAGACCAAAGAAGUCCUUGAAACAGGCUCUCUGAAUGGUCAUCUCUACUAAUUAUCGGCAGGCACAACAUCUUUGUUUGUAUGUGGUGCUGAGGAUCGAACCCGGGCCGCACACAUGCCAGGGCGAGGCUGCCUUUCCAAUGGACAAAAUGAAUUGAAAUACAAGUUUGCUAGACCCACUCUAUAUACCCGAACCUGGAGAAAGCCAGCCCAGGACAAAUGGUGCAACAAUCUGACUCAGGGAUUGACUCCAGGACAUGGAGCAUACUGGGUAAGUGUUAUACACUCUCUAGCCGCCCCUCUCCACCCCAUUACAAAAUGUUCUAAAUAUGCAAAAUACUCAUUUCUCAUCUAAUAAAUCCUAAAAUUUUGCUACACUGUUUCAAAUUUUCUUCUGUUUCUU